GUGCCAGCAGCCGCGGUAAUACGUAGGGAGCAAGCGUUGUCCGGAUUUACUGGGUGUAAAGGGUGCGUAGGCGGCUUUGCAAGUCAGAUGUGAAAUCUAUGGGCUCAACCCAUAAACUGCAUUUGAAACUGUAGAGCUUGAGUGAAGUAGAGGCAGGCGGAAUUCCCCGUGUAGCGGUGAAAUGCGUAGAGAUGGGGAGGAACACCAGUGGCGAAGGCGGCCUGCUGGGGCUUUAACUGACGCUGAGGCACGAAAGCGUGGGUAGCAAACAGGAUUAGAUACCCUGGUAGUCC
rnacentral:rRNA from 1 species